GAUCAUGGCUCAGGACGAACGCUGGCGGCGCGCCUAAAACAUGCAAGUCGAGCGAGAACCAGGGCUUCGGCCCUGGGGACAGCGGCGAACGGGUGCGUAACACGUGAGCAACCUGCCCCGAAGACCGGGACAAGCCGGGGAAACCUGGUCUAAUACCGGAUGCCCUCACCGGAUCGCAUGAUCUGGCGAGGAAAUGGAUUCCGCUUCGGGAUGGGCUCGCGGUCUAUCAGCUUGUUGGUGGGGUAACGGCCUACCAAGGCGACGACGGAUAGCUGGUCUGAGAGGACGAUCAGCCACACUGGGACUGAGACACGGCCCAGACUCCUACGGGAGGCAGCAGUUAGGAAUCUUGCGCAAUGGGGGAAACCCUGACGCAGCGACGCCGCGUGCGGGAUGAAGGCCCUCGGGUUGUAAACCGCUUUCAGCAGGGACGAAAUUGACGGUACCUGCAAAAAGGCCCGGCCAACUACGUC
rnacentral:rRNA from 1 species